GCCUCUAUGGCUCAGUGGUAGAGCGCAUCACUAGUAAUGAUGAGGUCCGCGGUUCGAUCCCGCGUGGAGGCA
rfam:Aspergillus kawachii IFO 4308 DNA, contig: scaffold00003.